rnacentral:rRNA from 1 species
UGGGGAAUAUUGCACAAUGGGGGAAACCCUGAUGCAGCGACGCCGCGUGAGCGAUGAAGGCUUUCGAGUCGUAAAGCUCUGUCCUAUGGGAAGAUAAUGACGGUACCAUAGAAGAAAGCCCCGGCUAAUUACGUGCCAGCAGCCGCGGUAAUACGUAAGGGGCGAGCGUUGUCCGGAAUUAUUGGGCGUAAAGAGUGCGUAGGCGGCAAAUUAAGUCAGAUGUGAAAACUAAGGGCUCAACCCAUAGAUUGCAUCUGAAACUGAUAUGCUGGAGUAAAGGAGAGGAAAGUGGAAUUCCUAGUGUAGCGGUGGAAUGCGUAGAUAUUAGGAGGAAUACCGGUGGCGAAGGCGACUUUCUGGACUUGAACUGACGCUGAGGCACGAAAGCGUGGGGAGCAAACGGG